GGACGAACGCUGGCGGCGUGCCUAAUACAUGCAAGUCGAACGAGAGCGACCGGUGCUUGCACUGGUCAAUCUAGUGGCGAACGGGUGAGCAACACGUGGGUAACCUGCCCAUCAGAGGGGGAUAACAUUCGGAAACGGAUGCUAAAACCGCAUAGGUCUUCGAACCGCAUGGUUUGAAGAGGAAAAGAGGCGCAAGCUUCUGCUGAUGGAUGGACCCGCGGUGCAUUAGCUAGUUGGUGAGGUAACGGCUCACCAAGGCCGUGAUGCAUAGCCGACCUGAGAGGGUGAUCGGCCACAUUGGGACUGAGACACGGCCCAAACUCCUACGGGAGGCAGCAGUAGGGAAUCUUCCGCAAUGGACGCAAGUCUGACGGAGCAACGCCGCGUGAGUGAAGAAGGUUUUCGGAUCGUAAAACUCUGUUGUUAGAGAAGAAUAAGUGCUAGAGUAACUGUUAGCGCCUUGACGGUAUCUAACCAGAAAGCCACGGCUAACUACGUG
rnacentral:rRNA from 1 species